UGACCAUGAUCAGCAAUGGUACGUGUUUCCUCCUGCCAGUCGUUCUUCCUCAUUUGCCCAAGAAUCCUGUUUGAUCUGUUUGGAUGGACCCCCCUUCAUAUGAGGAGGCCAGUCGCCAACCUCCUGCUCUGCCCAUUGCAGCUUUUAACGCCCCCCCGCCCGCCUAUGACGCCUCUCUCUCAUCCCCACCGACACCUCCACCUGCCUACAGAGAAGCAGUUACAGUUCAGCCAGAUCCUUUUCCUGUCCUGUCUGUGCCAACUGCCGUGUCCUCGCCUCCCCACCAAAGCACUGGAGUCAUAGUCCAUCCCAUUACUCAAAUUAAUCCGCAUACUUCUCGCGCUGCAGCUUCUGCUCCAGCUGCUGCGUCCUCGCGUUCCCGACA